rnacentral:rRNA from 1 species
UACGGGGGGGGCAAGCGUUUGUUCGGAAUUACUGGGCGUAAAGGGCUCGUAGGUGGCCAACUAAGUCAGACGUGAAAUCCCCCGGCUUAACCGGGGAAUGGCGUCUGAUACUGGAUGGCUUGAGUUCGGGAGAGGGAUGCGGAAUUCCAGGUGUAGCGGUGAAAUGCGUAGAUAUCUGGAGGAACACCGGUGGCGAAGGCGGGCUCUGG